rnacentral:rRNA from 1 species
UGGGGAAUCUUGCACAAUGGGCGAAAGCCUGAUGCAGCAACGCCGCGUGCGGGAAGAAGGCCCUCGGGUUGUAAACCGCUUUCAGAAGGAACGAAACUGACGGUACUUUCAGAAGAAGGUGCGGCCAACUACGUGCCAGCAGCCGCGGUGACACGUAGGCACCAAGCGUUGUCCGGAUUUAUUGGGCGUAAAGAGCUCGUAGGCGGUUCAGUAAGUCGGGUGUGAAAACUUUGGGCUUAACCCAAAGCGUGCAUCCGAUACUGCUGUGACUUGAGUACGGUAGGGGAGCGGGGAAUUCCUAGUGUAGCGGUGAAAUGCGCAGAUAUUAGGAGGAACACCGGUGGCGAAGGCGCCGCUCUGGGCCGAAACUGACGCUGAGGAGCGAAAGCAUGGGUAGCAAACAG